rnacentral:lncRNA from 1 species
GGGGCUUACUAUUUUUCACAUUUUUAUUUUCUUUUUAGGAUAGUAUGAACAUGAUUAACUAAGCAAACUAUUUUAAAUAAUUAAAAGUGAAAUGAUAACUACCAAGUUUACCUCUUGGCAAGGCGUUCGGUGUUUUUAAGUCCUCCGAAUGGGACACUCCGUUUUCUAGUUGUCCUGAGAUUCGUUGGGUGGCGGAAUCGGUACUUCCGGCAGCGCCUCCUCUUCAUGUAUGGUUAUCUUCUCUUUCCACACCUGACUCGGUGCUACGGUCUCCUCUAGAUAGUUCUGUUUAAAUUAUAUGUCUUCUGACCUUAUCACUUCUCCUUCAUAGUCUGCCCAUCCGUCCUUGAUGAUCUGCCUCCUCUGGUUGCAAUUGCGUCGUUUUCUGACCUGCUUAGAUUCUUCAACGAUAUAGUUAGGGUCAGUAAAAUAGCGGCGUACCUUCUCUGAGGGGAAGUGCAUAUGGACUUCUCCAGUUCCAAUGUAGAUAAUUGCUUUAACAGUGCUGAGGAAUGGUCUUCCAAGGAUGAUGGGUGGAUCGUACUCAUCUUCUCCCAUGUCAAUAACCUGAAAGUCUGUGUAGACAAAACGAUCAUCUAUUUUGACAGGGACAUCAGUUACUAUUCAUUUGACCUUUUGAAAUGUCUGAUCUGCCAUCUGGAGCUGAAUGUAUGUUGGUUUUAAGGGCAUGGUUCCAAACAAGAGCCGAUAGGUGACUGCGGCCAUUAUGUUGACGCCCGAUCCGGUGUCGCAAGUCGUCUUGUAGAAGUUGUAUCCAUUUAUGGAGCAAUAGAUGCUUGG